rnacentral:rRNA from 1 species
ACGAACGCUGGCGGCGUGCCUAAUACAUGCAAGUUGAGCGCUGAAGGUUGGUACUUGUACCAACUGGAUGAGCAGCGAACGGGUGAGUAACGCGUGGGGAAUCUGCCUUUGAGCGGGGGACAACAUUUGGAAACGAAUGCUAAUACCGCAUAAAAACUUUAAACACAAGUUUUAAGUUUGAAAGAUGCAAUUGCAUCACUCAAAGAUGAUCCCGCGUUGUAUUAGCUAGUUGGUGAGGUAAAGGCUCACCAAGGCGAUGAUACAUAGCCGACCUGAGAGGGUGAUCGGCCACAUUGGGACUGAGACACGGCCCAAACUCCUACGGGAGGCAGCAGUAGGGAAUCUUCGGCAAUGGACGAAAGUCUGACCGAGCAACGCCGCGGGAGUGAAGAAGGGUGUCGGAUCGUAAAACUCUGUUGGUAGAGAAGAACGUUGGUGAGAGUGGAAAGCUCAUCAAGUGACGGUAACUACCCAGAAAGGGACGGCUAACUACGUG